rnacentral:rRNA from 1 species
GACGAACGCUGGCGGCGUGCUUAACACAUGCAAGUCGAACGGAAAGGCCCUGCUUUUGUGGGGUGCUCGAGUGGCGAACGGGUGAGUAACACGUGAGUAACCUGCCCUUGACUUUGGGAUAACUUCAGGAAACUGGGGCUAAUACCGGAUAGGAGCUCCUGCUGCAUGGUGGGGGUUGAAAAGUUUCGGCGGUUGGGGAUGGACUCGCGGCUUAUCAGCUUGUUGGUGGGGUAGUGGCUUACCAAGGCUUUGACGGGUAGCCGGCCUGAGAGGGUGACCGGCCACAUUGGGACUGAGAUACGGCCCAGACUCCUACGGGAGGCAGCAGUGGGGAAUAUUGCACAAUGGGCGGAAGCCUGAUGCAGCAACGCCGCGUGCGGGAUGACGGCCUUCGGGUUGUGAACCGCUUUCGCCUGUGACGAAGCGUGAGUGACGGUAAUGGGUAAAGAAGCACCGGCUAACUACGUG